GCGAGGGUUGCCCAGCCAGGUCAAAGGCGCUAGGUUCAGGGCCUAGUCUUGUAGGAGUUCGUGGGUUCGAAUCCCACCCCUCGCA
rnacentral:tRNA from 3 species